rnacentral:tRNA from 1 species
AAGGGAGACCUAAUUCAAGUAGGAGACGAAAAAAAGUAGUCGCUACCAAGAAUCAAUCCCAAAAGGUCGGAGCGAGGCGAAAUUGGCUUUCAAACUAGGUUCUGGGUUCACACAAGACCUGAAUCAGGAACAAGGGCUAUUAGCUCAGGUGGUUAGAGCGCACCCCUGAUAAGGGUGAGGUCCCUGGUUCGAGUCCAGGAUGGCCCACCUGUACAGGUGGCAAAAAGAAAGAAAAGAAGCGAGGAAUCAGCACCUUAUCUUACUGACAUAGUAAGAGAGAAUGCUGGCUCUGAGUAAAGAGUCCAGAGGAACCUUGAAAACUGCAUAGAGCUAGGUGAAAAAGCCAAAAAAGAAGACCGCAA